AGAGUUUGAUCCUGGCUCAGGACGAACGCUGGCGGCGCGCCUAACACAUGCAAGUCGAACGGAGCUGAGAGGAGCUUGCUUUUCUUAGCUUAGUGGCGAACGGGUGAGUAACGCGUGAGUAACCUGCCCUGGAGUGGGGGACAACAGUUGGAAACGACUGCUAAUACCGCAUAAGCCCACGGCCCGGCAUCGGGCUGCGGGAAAAGGAUUUAUUCGCUUCAGGAUGGACUCGCGUCCAAUUAGCUAGUUGGUGAGGUAACGGCCCACCAAGGCGACGAUUGGUAGCCGGACUGAGAGGUUGAACGGCCACAUUGGGACUGAGACACGGCCCAGACUCCUACGGGAGGCAGCAGUGGGGAAUAUUGCACAAUGGGGGAAACCCUGAUGCAGCGACGCCGCGUGGAGGAAGAAGGUUUUCGGAUUGUAAACUCCUGUCGUUAGGGACGAUAAUGACGGUACCUAACAAGAAAGCACCGGCUAACUACGUGCCAGCAGCCGCGGUAAAACGUAGGGUGCAAGCGUUGUCCGGAAUUACUGGGUGUAAAGGGAGCGCAGGCGGACCGGCAAGUUGGAAGUGAAAACUAUGGGCUCAACCCAUAAAUUGCUUUCAAAACUGUUGGCCUUGAGUAGUGCAGAGGUAGGUGGAAUUCCCGGUGUAGCGGUGGAAUGCGUAGAUAUCGGGAGGAACACCAGUGGCGAAGGCGACCUACUGGGCACCAACUGACGCUGAGGCUCGAAAGCAUGGGUAGCAAACAGGAUUAGAUACCCUGGUAGUCCAUGCCGUAAACGAUGAUUACUAGGUGUUGGAGGAUUGACCCCUUCAGUGCCGCAGUUAACACAAUAAGUAAUCCACCUGGGGAGUACGACCGCAAGGUUGAAACUCAAAGGAAUUGACGGGGGCC
rnacentral:rRNA from 1 species